GCGGCGGUGCGGCCGCCGCCCGGGUUCGGCGCGGCCGUGCGGCCCGUGCGGCCCUACGACCCGUUCCGCUCGCUGGCGUCCAUCUGGGCGCCGGGCGCGCUGGACUGGCGCAGCGAGCCCGCGCCCGACGCGGACGAGGCGCCGCCCGGCUAGGCGCGCGACGCCGCGCCGGCGCACUAGUCAGGCCCGCGCCGGCGUGCGCCACUCCACCGCUACCUAACGUGUUACAGUGUUCCCUACUUGAUUGUCUGCUUAAGACUGAAUUAAACUACACUAUCUCAAAUGAUGACAACUUCUUUUAUUGCAACCCCUGCUGAAUCAUAUUUUGUUCCUUUGUUGUACAGUUUCCAAAAAUAUUUUGAACAAAGCUCUUUGUACAGUGCAAGCACGCACAAAUUUGACAUCAUCGUGUCAGCACUUUACUAGCUACGCGCGCUCUAUACUUCAGUACACAAUUAUCACUCAAAUCGCGUGCACUCAUUAUCAUUCAAUUAAAUUCUAUUUUUACGUAUUAAUCAACCUAUCAACAAUAAAAGGUGUAAAGAUCCUACAUCUUCUUGGUCCUUCGAGCAUCCGUAUAUGCGGGACUCUUUCACGUUCGUAACAGUGUGAAUAAGCUGUCGGCACGGAAGUACAGCUCCUGUGACUACGACUUGUGGACAGAGUAACAUCCGUCUGCUGCAACAACCCUCUUUCCGUGAGGACGAAUCGCGGAGAGGACAAUACAGCAAACCGUUGAAAGCAACUCGGCGAUACUUUGAGUCGCGCGCUCGCCCAGUAUCGGGACAUACCCCCGUCGGUCAGUGCGCAGUCAGUCCCGAGGCAACGGCAGCGGCACCGGCGCCGGCGCUCAAUUCGUUGUGUAAUUGGGUCGCGAGUAAUAACAUAUUGCGAAUCUCGGUGAUCCUGUUUAUUUAGCGAGGCCAAGUCCGGCGCCGCGACCAUCACCGCAGACAUGUCCAUUUCGCGGCGGCGCGGCGGCGCGCUGCCAGAGUGCUGUCUGUGAGCCGGCGUCAGAUCUGGGCAGUGGUAUUUAGACGGACGGAAUGGACGCGGUGUACCCGGCGGCGGCGUCGGCGCUCGCCCGCGGCCGGCGCCUGCGCCGCGCCGAGCCGCGCCAGCGCCGCCGCACCACGCCCGUCACCUUCGCGGAGAUUAAGGUGCUCUUAUCACUAGCUAACUGUCGGUUUCUGAAAGCCUGGUCAGUACAGACGGCCUGGUACUGUUUUGGUCAACCAGUCGCACAAUGAACAUAUAGACAAUCGAUGUGUGUUUAUCAAUGUAAGGAGGUGGACGAAGAGAACUCCGAGUCGGAGGUGAGCGAGGAGCGGCGGCGGCGGCCGGACCUGCUGCACGAGACCCUCGGGCGCCAGUUCGCGGAGUCGCGGCGGCGGCGCGCCCGCCGUGAUCUGCUGCGGGAGCGCGAGGCGGAUUCGCCGCCGCCCGCAGCGCCCGCACCCCCGA